rnacentral:rRNA from 1 species
GACGAACGCUGGCGGCGCGCUUAACACAUGCAAGUCGAACGGAAAGGCCUGCUUUCCCUUGUGGAUUGCAGGUACUCGAGUGGCGAACGGGUGAGUAACACGUGAGUGAUCUGCCCCCAACUUGGGUAUAAGCCUGGGAAACUGGGUCUAAUUCCCGAUAGGACUGCAGGGUGGUGCCUGUGGUGGAAAACGAUUUUCUAGUGGUUGGGGAUGAGCUCGCGGCCUAUCAGCUUGUUGGUGGGGUAAUGGCCUACCAAGGCGGCGACGGGUAGCCGGCCUGAGAGGGUGGACGGCCACAUUGGGACUGAGAUACGGCCCAGACUCCUACGGGAGGCAGCAGUGGGGAAUAUUGCACAAUGGGCGGAAGCCUGAUGCAGCGACGCCGCGUGGGGGAUGACGGCCUUCGGGUUGUAAACUCCUUUCGACCGCGAGGAAGCCACCUGGUUGGAAGGGUGGUGACGGUAGUGGUAGAAGAAGCACCGGCUAACUACGUG